GUGGGGAAUUUUGGACAAUGCGCGCAAGCCUGAUCCAGCAAUGCCGCGUGCAGGAAGAAGGCCUUCGGGUUGUAAACUGCUUUUGUACGGAACGAAACGGUCCGGGUUAAUACCCUGGGCUAAUGACGGUACCGUAAGAAUAAGCACCGGCUAACUACGUGCCAGCAGCCGCGGUAAUACGUAGGGUGCAAGCGUUAAUCGGAAUUACUGGGCGUAAAGCGUGCGCAGGCGGUUUUGUAAGACAGGCGUGAAAUCCCCGGGCUCAACCUGGGAAUUGCGCUUGUGACUGCAAGGCUGGAGUGCGGCAGAGGGGGAUGGAAUUCCGCGUGUAGCAGUGAAAUGCGUAGAUAUGCGGAGGAACACCGAUGGCGAAGGCAAUCCCCUGGGCCUGCACUGACGCUCAUGCACGAAAGCGUGGGGAGCAAACAGGAUUAGAUACCCGAGUAGUCC
rnacentral:rRNA from 1 species